CACCAAGCAGGCCCAACGUGGUUCUUCCAACGUCUUUUCCAUGUUUGAACAAGCCCAGAUACAGGAGUUCAAAGAAGCCUUCAGCUGUAUUGACCAGAAUCGUGAUGGCAUCAUCUGCAAGGCAGACCUGAGGGAGACCUACUCCCAGCUGGGGAAGGUGAGUGUCCCAGAGGAGGAGCUGGAUGCCAUGCUGCAGGAGGGCAAGGGCCCCAUCAACUUCACCGUCUUCCUCACGCUCUUUGGGGAGAAGCUCAAUGGGACAGACCCCGAGGAAGCCAUCCUGAGUGCCUUCCGCAUGUUUGACCCCAGCGGCAAAGGGGUGGUGAACAAGGAUGACCAACCCUUCCCUGCGCCAUGGGAGCCUCCGUACCCACCUUCCCUGUGCAGUCACUCCCCCGCAGUCUCCUGCUCAGACCCUCCUCACCCCCCAGGUUCAAGCAGCUUCUCCUGACCCAGGCAGACAAGUUCUCUCCAGCUGAGGUGGAGCAGAUGUUCGCCCUGACACCCAUGGACCUGGCGGGGAACAUCGACUACAAGUCACUGUGCUACAUCAUCACCCAUGGAGACGAGAAAGAGGAAUGAGGGGCAGGGCCAGGCCCACGGGGGGGCACCUCAAUAAACUCUGUUGCAAAAU
rnacentral:sRNA from 1 species